AUUGUAGCAUACAAGGCAUACGGCUCAGUAACGCGUAGUCAACCUAACCUAUGGACGGGAAUAACCUCGGGAAACUGAGAAUAAUGCCCGAUAGAACACUAUACCUGGAAUGGUUUGUGUUCCAAAUGAUUUAUCGCCAUAGGAUGGGACUGCGGCCUAUCAGUUUGUUGGUGAGGUAAUGGCCCACCAAGACUAUUACAGGUACGGGCUCUGAGAGGAGUAGCCCGGAGAUGGGUACUGAGACACGGACCCAGGCCCUAUGGGGCGCAGCAGGCGAGAAAACUUUGCAAUGUGCGAAAGCACGACAAGGUUAAUCCGAGUGAUUUGUGCUAAACGAAUCUUUUGUUAGUCCUAGAAACACUAACGAAUAAGGGGUGGGCAAGUUCUGGUGUCAGCCGCCGCGGUAAAACCAGCACCUCAAGUGGUCAGGAUGAUUAUUGGGCCUAAAGCAUCCGUAGCCGGCUCUGUAAGUUUUCGGUUAAAUCUGUACGCUUAACGUACAGGCUGCCGGGAAUACUGCAGAGCUAGGGAGUGGGAGAGGUAGACGGUACUCGGUAGGAAGUGGUAAAAUGCUUUGAUCUAUCGAUGACCACCUGUGGCGAACGCGGUCUACCAGAACACGUCCGACGGUGAGGGAUGAAAGCUGGGGGAGCAAACCGGGAUUAGAUACCUGGUUAGUCCAGCUGUAACUAAUGCAACUCAGUGAUGCAUGUCUGUGUCGAUGCCAGUGCUGCAGGUCA
rnacentral:rRNA from 1 species